UGCAAGUCGAGGGGCAGCAUGAACUUAGCUUGCUAAGUUUGAUGGCGACCGGCGCACGGGUGAGUAACACGUAUCCAACCUGCCGAUGACUCGGGGAUAGCCUUUCGAAAGAAAGAUUAAUACCCGAUGGCAUAGUUCUUCCGCAUGGUAGAACUAUUAAAGAAUUUCGGUCAUCGAUGGGGAUGCGUUCCAUUAGGUUGUUGGCGGGGUAACGGCCCACCAAGCCUUCGAUGGAUAGGGGUUCUGAGAGGAAGGUCCCCCACAUUGGAACUGAGACACGGUCCAAACUCCUACGGGAGGCAGCAGUGAGGAAUAUUGGUCAAUGGACGAGAGUCUGAACCAGCCAAGUAGCGUGAAGGAUGACUGCCCUAUGGGUUGUAAACUUCUUUUAUACGGGAAUAAAGUGAGGCACGUGUGCCUUUUUGUAUGUACCGUAUGAAUAAGGAUCGGCUAACUCCGUGCCAGCAGCCGCGGUAAUACGGAGGAUCCGAGCGUUAUCCGGAUUUAUUGGGUUUAAAGGGAGCGUAGGCGGACGCUUAAGUCAGUUGUGAAAGUUUGCGGCUCAACCGUAAAAUUGCAGUUGAUACUGGGUGUCUUGAGUACAGUAGAGGCAGGCGGAAUUCGUGGUGUAGCGGUGAAAUGCUUAGAUAUCACGAAGAACUCCGAUUGCGAAGGCAGCUUGCUGGACUGUAACUGACGCUGAUGCUCGAAAGUGUGGGUAUCAAACAGGAUUAGAUACCCUGGUAGUCCACACAGUAAACGAUGAAUACUCGCUGUUUGCGAUAUACAGUAAGCGGCCAAGCGAAAGCGUUAAGUAUUCCACCUGGGGAGUACGCCGGCAACGGUGAAACUCAAAGGAAUUGACGGGGGCCCGCACAAGCGGAGGAACAUGUGGUUUAAUUCGAUGAUACGCGAGGAACCUUACCCGGGCUUGAAUUGCAACUGAAUGAUGUGG
rnacentral:rRNA from 1 species